rnacentral:rRNA from 1 species
AGAGGUUGCUGCUAUGGGGAUCCGGAUUAGCCAUGCAAGUCCAGGGGUCUUCGGACACCGGCGAAAUGCUUAGUAACACGUCAAUAAUCUGCCCUUGAAUGGGGGAUAGCCUCGGGAAACUGAGGGUAAUACCCUAUAGGGAACUAUGGCUGGAAUGCCUUGUUCCUAAAAGCUUCGGCGUUCAAGGAUGAGUUGGCGGCUGAUUAGAUUGUUGGUGGGGUAAUGGCCCACCAAGUCGAAGAUCAGUAGGGGCCUUGAGAGAGGUUGCCCCAAGAAGGGUACUGAGACACUGACCCUAGCCCUACGGGGUGCAGCAGGCGCGAAAACUCUACACUGCACGAAAGUGUGAUAGGGGGAUCCCUAGUGCUUAUGUAACACAUAGGCUUUUGAUAUGGGUAAAAACCAUUUUCGAAUAAGUGGUGGGCAAGACUGGUGCCAGCAGCCGCGGUAACCCCAGCGCCACAAGUGGCAACCGUUUCUAUUGGGCCUAAAGCGUCCGUAGUUUGUUAUGUAAAUCUUUUGUGAAAUCGUCUGGCUUAACUAGACGGCGUGCAGGAGACACUGUAUAACUUGGGACCGGGAGGAGUCAGGAGUAUGCCGGGGGGAACGGUAAAAUGUUAUAAUCCUCGGUAGACUACCAGUGGCGAAGGCGCCUGACCAGAACGGAUCCGACAAUGAGGGACGAAAGCUAGGGGAGCAAAUCGGAUUAGAUACCCGUGUAGUCCUAGCCGUAAACACUGCGAACUAGGUGUUGCGCAUUCUACAGGAAUGCGCAGUGUCGUAGCGAAGGUGAUAAGUUCGCCGCCUGGGAAGUACGGUCGCAAGGCUGAAACUUAAAGGAAUUGGCGGGGGAGCACUACAAGGGGUGCGGCGUGCGGUUUAAUCUAAUUCAACGCAGAGAAUCUCACCAGGGGCGACGGCAGGAUGAAGGUCAGGUUGAAGACUUUACCAGACGAGCCGAGAGGAGGUGCAUGGCCGCCGCCAGCUCGUGCCGUAAGGUGUCCUGUUAAGUCAGGCAACGAGCAAGAUCUAUGCCCACAAUUGCCAGCAAGUCCUUUAGGAUGAUUGGGCCAAUUGUGGGGACUGCCCGUGUAAAUGGGAGGAAGGCGUAGGCAACGGUAGGUCCGUAUGCCCCGAAUCUCCUGGGCUACACGCGCGCAACAAUGGUAGAGACAAUGGGAUGCGACCCCGUAAGGGGGAGCUAAACCUCGAAACUCUAUCCAAGUACAGAUUGAGGUUUGUAACUCAGCCUCAUGACGCCGGAAUCCCUAGUAAUCAGAGUUUAUCAUACUCCGGUGAAUACGUCCCUGCUCCUUGCACACACCGCCCGUCAAACCAACCGAGCAGGGUUUGGGUGAGGGCUGGCUUUCUAGCCAGAACGAAUCUGAGCUCAGUGAGGUGGGUUAAGUCGUCACAAGGUA